rfam:Exophiala oligosperma strain CBS 72588 unplaced genomic scaffold supercont1.8, whole genome shotgun sequence.
UCCUCUGUGGCGCAAUUGGCUAGCGCGUCUGACUGUUAAUAUAAGCAUAUAUCAGGAGGUUGGUGGUUCGAGCCCACCCGGAGGAG